CAGUAGCCACGGGAAUACAGAGGGUGCGAGCGUUAAUCGGAUUUACUGGGCGUAAAGCGUGCGUAGGCGGCUUUUUAAGUCGGAUGUGAAAUCCCUGAGCUUAACUUAGGAAUUGCAUUCGAUACUGGGAAGCUAGAGUAUGGGAGAGGAUGGUAGAAUUCCAGGUGUAGCGGUGAAAUGCGUAGAGAUCUGGAGGAAUACCGAUGGCGAAGGCAGCCAUCUGGCCUAAUACUGACGCUGAGGUACGAAAGCAUGGGGAGCAAACAGGAUUAGAUACCCCCGUAGUCCCUGUCUCUUAUAU
rnacentral:rRNA from 1 species